rnacentral:other from 1 species
UAUCUCCUGCUGUACUCGAUAGUGUGCUGGGUGUUUCCUGAACCUGUAUUUACCCCGGGGGCGAACUUCAGUAAUGGCGUGCAUGCCCGUUUUAUACAGGAAGCCCAAUUUUCCGAUCUUGUCCCCACUUGAACUUUCGGUUCAAGGACGAAGGCACACGUCGGCACAAGCGGGAGAUGC